rnacentral:rRNA from 1 species
CCUACGGGAGGCAGCAGUGGGGAAUUUUCCGCAAUGGGCGAAAGCCUGACGGAGCAAUACCGCGUGAGGGAUGAAAGCCUGUGGGCUGUAAACCUCUUUUCUCAAGGAAGAAGUUCUGACGGUACUUGAGGAAUAAGCAUCGGCUAACUCUGUGCCAGCAGCCGCGGUAAUACAGAGGAUGCAAGCGUUAUCCGGAAUCACUGGGCAUAAAGCGUCUGUAGGUUGCCUACCAAGUCUGCUGUUAAAGAUCGGGGCCUAACCCUGAGAAAGCAGUGGAAACUAGUAGGCUUGAGUGUGGUAGAGGUAGAGGGAAUUCCUGGUGUAGCGGUGAAAUGCGUAGAUAUUAGGAAGAACACCAACGGCGAAAGCACUCUACUGGGCCAUAACUGACACUGAGAGACGACAGCUAGGGGAGCAAAUGGGAUUAGAUACCCCAGUAGUCCUAGCCGUAAACGAUGGAUACUAGGUGUUGCACGUAUUAACCCGUGCAGUAUCGUAGCUAAGGCGUUAAGUAUCCCGCCUGGGAAGUACGCUCGCAAGAGUGAAACUCAAAGGAAUUGACGG